rnacentral:tRNA from 1 species
UCCCUGGUGGCUCAGAUGGUAAAGAAUCUGCCUGCAAUGCAGGGGAUCCAGGUUUGAUCCCUGGGUUGGGAA